rnacentral:sRNA from 1 species
UGGUUGGUUUUGGGUCUCUGUUUGACA